rnacentral:rRNA from 1 species
AAUCAACGCUGGCGGCGUGCCUCAGACAUGCAAGUCGAACGAUUAAGACUUCCUUCGGGAAGUGUAUAAAGUGGCGCACGGGUGAGUGACACGUAAGUAAUCUACCCUCGAGUGGGGAAUAACGUUCGGAAACGAACGCUAAUACCGCAUAACGCAGCGGCACCGCAAGGUGACAGUUGUUAAAGGAGUAAUUCGCUUGA